GAGGGUAUGGCUCUAGUGGCAGAGCACAUGCUUAGCAGGCACGAGGGCCUGGGUUCAAUUUCCAGUCCCUUCC
rnacentral:tRNA from 1 species